GUCUACGGCCAUACCACCCUGAACGCGCCUGAUCUCGUCUGAUCUCGGAAGCUAAGCAGGGUCGGGCCUGGUUAGUACUUGGAUGGGAGACAUAAUCACUUACUAGUUUCGGGAGGUU
rnacentral:rRNA from 1 species